AUGCCAUGGUGGGGACAUUGUCUGAGUAUCUCCUUAAACCUUUCCGGGGCAUCAAAUAGGGAUUCAUCCUCUCCUUGUCUAAAUAAGGUUAUCUCACUCCUCAUUUU